AGUGAACGCUGGCGGUAGGCCUAACACGCGCAAGUCGAACGGCAGCACAGAGGAGCUUGCUCCUUGGGUGGCGAGUGGCGGACGGGUGAGGAAUACAUCGGAAUCUACUCUGUCGUGGGGGAUAACGUAGGGAAACUUACGCUAAUACCGCAUACGACCUACGGGUGAAAGCAGGGGAUCUUCGGACCUUGCGCGAUUGAAUGAGCCGAUGUCGGAUUAGCUAGUUGGCGGGGUAAAGGCCCACCAAGGCGACAAUCCGUAGCUGGUCUGAGAGGAUGAUAAGCCACACGGGAACUGAGAGACGGUCCAGACUCCUACGGGAGGCAGACGUGGGGAAGAUUGGACAAUGGGCGCAAGCCUGAUCCAGCCAUACCGCGUGGGUGAAGAAGGCCUUCGGGUUGUAAAGCCCUUUUGUUGGGAAAGAAAUCCAUCUUGUUAAUACCCGGGUGGGACGACGGUACCCAAAGAAUAAGCACCGGCUAACUUCGUGCCAGCCGCCGCCGUAA
rnacentral:rRNA from 1 species